AAGAUCAUACUUCACAGGAUCAUUUCUGUAGUAUGCAUCGUCCCCUCCAGGUGCAAAUUUGGAGUCGUCGACAGCCACGAUGAAGAGUUUAGUUCAAUUAUUCGAGCGUGAGGUAUCUUAAUUGUUCUACUCUUGUAGAAGUAUUUAGAAACGAUGAUCGCCAUCAAUCCUUUUUGACAGAAUAAUUGAACCGGCUGAGUGGU